rnacentral:rRNA from 1 species
AGAGUUUGAUCCUGGCUCAGAUUGAACGCUGGCGGCAUGCCUUACACAUGCAAGUCGAACGGUAACAGGUCUUCGGACGCUGACGAGUGGCGAACGGGUGAGUAAUACAUCGGAACGUGCCCAGUCGUGGGGGAUAACUACUCGAAAGAGUAGCUAAUACCGCAUACGAUCUGAGGAUGAAAGCGGGGGACCUUCGGGCCUCGCGCGAUUGGAGCGGCCGAUGGCAGAUUAGGUAGUUGGUGGGAUAAAAGCUUACCAAGCCGACGAUCUGUAGCUGGUCUGAGAGGACGACCAGCCACACUGGGACUGAGACACGGCCCAGACUCCUACGGGAGGCAGCAGUGGCGAAUUUUGGACAAUGGGCGAAAGCCUGAUCCAGCAAUGCCGCGUGCAGGAUGAAGGCCUUCGGGUUGUAAACUGCUUUUGUACGGAACGAAAAAGCUUCUCCUAAUACGGGAGGCCCAUGACGGUACCGUAAGAAUAAGCACCGGCUAACUACGUGCCAGCAGCCGCGGUAAUACGUAGGGUGCGAGCGUUAAUCGGAAUUACUGGGCGUAAAGCGUGCGCAGGCGGUUAUGUAAGACAGAUGUGAAAUCCCCGGGCUCAACCUGGGAACUGCAUUUGUGACUGCAUGGCUAGAGUACGGUAGAGGGGGAUGGAAUUCCGCGUGUAGCAGUGAAAUGCGUAGAUAUGCGGAGGAACACCGAUGGCGAAGGCAAUCCCCUGGACCUGUACUGACGCUCAUGCACGAAAGCGUGGGGA